rnacentral:rRNA from 1 species
UACGUAGGGUGCAAGCGUUGUCCGGAAUUAUUGGGCGUAAAGAGCUCGUAGGCGGUUUGUCGCGUCUGGUGUGAAAAUCCAGGGCUUAACCCUCGAAUGCCGGUGGAUACUGUCGGGCUCGAGUCCGGAAGAGGCGAGUGGAAUUCCUGGUGUAGCGGUGGAAUGCGCAGAUAUCAGGAGGAACACCGAUGGCGAAGGCAGCUCGCUGGGACGGUACUGACACUGAGGCGCGAAAGCGUGGGGAGCGAACGGG